CAAUAGCGUAUAUUAAAGUUGUUGCAGUUAAAAGCUCGUAGUUGGAUUUCUGGGAGGGUGCCAAUGUCCGUCGUCGUACGUGUUGCAGCGGCGCCCUUCCAUCCUUCUGUUAACGACUUUGGGCAUUCAUUUGCCGGAGUCGGGCUCAGAUAUUUUACCUUGAGAAAAUUAGAGUGUUUCAGGCAGGCUUGCGCCUAGAUACAUUAGCAUGGAAUAAUAGAAUAGGACUUUGACCUCUUCUGUUGGUCUGAGGGGUGAGAGUAAUGAUUAAUAGGGAUAGUUGGGGGCAUUAGUACUUAACUGCUAGAGGUGAAAUUCUCAGAUUUGUUAAAGACUAACUUAUGCGAAAGCAUUUGCCAAGGAUGUUUUCAUUAAUCAAGAACGAAAGUUAGGGGAUCAAAGACGAUUAGAU
rnacentral:rRNA from 1 species